UGUGACCCCCUAGCCUGAGGUCCAGCUCUGCUCAGGGGGUUGAGUCCAGUGCCGUUACAAGAUCUGUCUCUCGCGCGCAGUCCACCGCAAUGGAAAGUAAAUGAUAUCCACGUGAACCGAAGACCUUGUGAGCUUCCAACAGGCUAGAGCCGACUGCAGCGGGUUUAUUUAAAACGCCUGGCUGUCGCCAGAUGACGUUUUCCGGAGAUAAUAGUUCGUGCGCUUAUCGACACGAAGCUGCUCUUUAAUCAUUAAGGUGUUGAAGAGCCUUGAUGUUUCACCUGUAGAAUGCAGUUACUGAGCAGAGCAGCCUUCAAACAACGUGUUACUGGCAAACCAAGGUUGGUGAAGAGCUGGUCUCUCAGCCGCAUGGAGCGACGCGCUCUGUUUGGCGUCUCUAGCUUGCCGUAGUCCUGAUAGCGGAUAUGGU